rnacentral:lncRNA from 1 species
UAAUGAAUAGAAAAAUGAAAAUUGAAAUUAUUAAGUAUGCUUUUUGGUGUGUGUGAUGAGUGAUGGUUGGUUUCGUACCGUUUGAGGUCUACACAUAUGUCAACCAUCACCACUAGUGUGAAUGUGAAGCGUGCCAUUGGCUGAACAAAAUAUGUUUAUUCACCGACUGUUACUCUAAAUCUUAAUCAUAAGAAGAAGAAAAAUAUUUUAUGCUCAUAUAAUAUAGUUGAGGAUCCAAUGUAUGUACAAUACCAUAUGCCUUGUAUUUCCCACUUUUCGACGUAUAUCUUUAUGUGCAGCAUGGUGGAGAGCAGCAAAACCAAAAACCAGAUGCUGGUGUGAACCUAUGGACUUUGUGGUGGGACACUUGGAAAUUUUGGAAUAUACUAAAGUUGUUGUCUUCUAAAAGAGAAAUACGUUACAAAGUACAUUCUCUACGGAUCUUAUAACCAUACAUAUCAAAAUUAAUUCUAAACGCAAUUUCCGUUGGGAAAUUAUCCAACCAAAUACGUACAACUGAUUGAUAUGAUUAAUCGUGACUUCAUGAAAUUUAUAUAGCAAUUCUUGGAUAAGAACAUACUAGGGCUAUAUCAGAGGAUUAGGAGUUUGGACGGUGGAUUAAUCCAGAUUUGCAUGCAUAAGCAAAAUCAAAAUCCAAUGUUCCAAAGUCUUUUUCUUUUGAGAUGGAGAAUGGAGAUGAUGUUUUAAAGUUAGAAGGGAAAUUUCUAGGCACUCCGCUCUAAAAAGUUGGAGAGUGACACUUUGGUCCCCAACUUCCACAAACCAUAUUUUAGCAAAAUGGUAAUUGCUAUAUUUUCUAAUCAAUUAGUGGGCUCUAAUUACAACAAAGUAUAACUGAUUUCGACGCAUGCACUUCUUACUUAUGAGAUAAAUUAAGUUCUUUACUUAUUUGUAAAAUGUUUAUGGGGGUAGCAUAGAUUGCAAAUGUACUGCUUUUUGAAGAUACAAUUCGGCCCCAUGGAUUAGUCGUUGUCUUUAAGAAAAGGGAAAAGAAAAAGUAUAUUGGGACGUAAUAAUUAAGUCCAAAUCAAAGAAUUUUGGGAGUCUCUAAUAGUUUUUUGUGGUUUUUUUUAUUUACGAGAAAGAAGUGACAAACAAAUAAUGAGUUCAAAUUACAAACUACUUAAAAUAGUUUAGUCAUUAUCUUUAUAACUUCAUUCUAUAUGUUCUAUCUCUGAGUACAAUAAAUAAAUCAUAUACCGUUACUCUAGACCUACUAUUUUCUCUUGACCCUCCUUUUCCCUUCUUCUUCAUCUACCCCUUUGGCUAAAAAACCGGGCGUCUUUCUCUCCGGUUAUGUUGUAGAGAGCGUUUCGCUCAAUCUUAUGCUGAAUUUUGUUUCUCCCCAGUUUUGUGUUGGGUUUGUUUCUGCCUAGUCUUUCUGCACUGACUUUUAAGGUUCCUUUGUAUUGUGGAAGUGGAGUUGUUAGAUAUGGGUGGAUCUUUCAUUAAUGGCUGUGGGAUCACGUGGGAUGUUGGAGGUACUGUGACUUUCUCUGCCCAAGUAGAUGCUGAGCGGUGAAGCCCUUUCACUUUUGGUUUCUUGUUAGUGUAGAAUAUGUUGUUCUAUCAACUCUGAGUGAGCUGAGCUUGAUUUUGUACGGUUAUUACUCACUAUCUUCAUGGAUUUAAUUUUUCCAGAUUUAUUGUAUGCAAGAACCUCCAAUUGAGGUGUGUUCUUCUUGUAUUUACCCAUAGAUUAAUGAAAUCCUGCUUGUUGUAAAAAAUAAAAAAUAAAAAAUCAUAUGCCGAAUAAUUGAAAUGCUGAAUGUUUUUAUUUUAACCUAGUGAAUUUUUGAGUAAAAAGUAAUUGCCGUUGACUUAAGGCAAGAGGAUCGAAGUGCUCCCACUCCUCAUUCCAAUGGGACGCAAUAUGAUUACAAACUAGAAAACCUUGGCAUGGUCACAUUAACUUAAAUCAUUGCAUUAAUCGUACCACAGAAGUUAAAUCGUAAAUCAUAUUGAAUCAUGAGGAGCAAUAACCCCACACAAUUUUCUCCCCUCUAGAUUGAAACCAGACAAUGUUCAUGACAAGGAAACUGUAUGUGAUGAAUUAUCCGAACAAAUAAAGACAUUCAAUUACGUUAUUAUGCCUAGUAUUAUCCUGUUUUUUUUUUUUCUUUUUUUUUUGGUUAGGUUUUGGUUAGGUGCAUUCAAAAUUUGACAAAUAUAUAUAUAUUCAAAGUCCAAGUUUGGUCCAUGACGAGGUCUAGCAUGUUGUUUAUUAAUCUUCUCAUUUCUUUUGUCAGGUUUGUGGUUAGGUGGUCCCUAUUGAAAUUGGAAAAAUUUCCACGUGUUCAAAUUGGGUCCAUCAGAUAGCAAGUCUAGUGUAAAAGCAAAAAAAUAUUAACGGCUGUUAAAUCAUUAGAAAAUUCUCUAACGGGUUCUAAAGAUGAUGGCGAUCUUUA